rnacentral:rRNA from 1 species
UACGUAGGGUGCAAGCGUUGUCCGGAAUUAUUGGGCGUAAAGCGCGCGCAGGCGGUCAGAGGCGUCGGUGCUCAAAGUCCACCGCUUAACGGUGGGAGGCGUGCCGAUACGCUCUGACUGGAGGGCGGGCGAGGGUGGUGGAAUUGCCGGUGUAGUGGUGAAAUGCGUAGAUAUGCGGAGGAACACCGAUGGCGAAGGCAAUCCCCUGGGCCUGCACUGACGCUCAUGCACGAAAGCGUGGGGAGCAAACAGG